GACGAACGCUGGCGGCGUGCUUAACACAUGCAAGUCGAACGGUAAGGCCCUUCGGGGUACACGAGUGGCGAACGGGUGAGUAACACGUGGGUGAUCUGCCCUGCACUUCGGGAUAAGCCUGGGAAACUGGGUCUAAUACCGGAUAGGACCACUGCCUGCAUGGGUGGUGGUGGAAGGCUUUUGCGGUGUGGGGCGGGCCCGCGGCCUAUCAGCUUGUUGGUGGGGUGAUGGCCUACCAAGGCGACGACGGGUAGCCGGCCUGAGGGGGUGACCGGCCACACUGGGGCUGAGAUACGGCAUCGACUCCUCCGGGAGGCAGCUGUGGGGAAUAUUGCACAAUGGGCGCAAGCCUGAUGCAGCGACGCCGCGUGGGGGAUGACGGCCUUCGGGUUGUAAACCUCUUUCAGCACCGACGAAGCGCAAGUGACGGUAGGUGCAGAAGAAGGACCGGCCAACUACGUGCCAGCAGCCGCCGCGG
rnacentral:rRNA from 1 species